CGGGGACAUGCAGACUCCCCGCGAGACCUAGUGUCCAAGCUCUGC
rnacentral:ncRNA from 1 species